ACCUCAUGAUUUGGGCAUUGCAUUAACUUGUUGUUGAAUCAUUUCCAAGCCUCGUAUAAUGCUUCACCAUUAAGUUGGCAAAAGUUGGUGAUUUCAUUCCUUAGUU
rfam:Capsicum annuum cultivar Zunla-1 chromosome 1, whole genome shotgun sequence